UGUAUAUACUUAUUUUGCACUCAUAACUGUUAUGUAUCGGACACUGCUUCCCAUCGAGUAACGGGAUAUCACACUAAUAUAAAGAGAUGUGUAUCACUUAUACCAUAGGGAUUAAAUAUGGUUCUAGACCCUAAUACAUAGAGAUAUUUAUCAUUUACACCAUAAGGAUUAAAUAUGGUUACGGGCCUAAUAUAGAGAGAUAUUUAUCACUUACACCAUAUGGAUUAAAUAUGGUUUUAAGCCAUUUUAAAGGAUUAUAAUGCAAUCAUAGUUUUCAAAUACUAUGAGAUUUUCUUGUUUAAUGUUUACAAAGACUAAUUUAAUUAUUCUAAAUAUUUAAUUUGGAAACAAUUUGGAUUAUUUUACAUGUUUAGCUUCUUUAAUAUGUAU
rnacentral:lncRNA from 1 species